UGCCAGUGUAGCAGAAAUGAUGACAGAUGAUGAUGGCAGCAGCAGCCGUUCUUCUCUGCUUCUGAUCUCUCUGCUGAGCUACACAGGUGCUGAGGUACUUUACUGGGCUGCUGGUCAGACGAGGCUUCUCUGGAGCUCUUUGUCCAGCUCGGGUGUUUCAGCACCAAGGACAGCGUGCAGCUCUCUGAGCUUCAGCAGCAGAACUGAAUCCACAGACUUUAGCAGCAGCACAGGAAGUGACACACACAUAACUGCUCACAUGCUUUUUAAAGGUUCAUUUAUUAUUGUUUGUGUUACAUUCAUUCAUAACCAAAUUUGAAUUAAUCAGAUGAUCAGUGUUUGACUGCUGUCUGUCUUCAGUGUGUCACUCAAUACUUUAUCAUUAAAACAGAGAGUUGAGGUGUUUUGCUGUUUGAAAAACUACAAACUCAUAAACAUGUGAGUCAG